CGCGAUGAUGCGGGAGAGACUGAAGCAAGAGCAUUCGUGCUUUUGAGUUCGGCGCCGACGGAGCAACCGCCCCGGAAACUCUCAGGCAAAAGAACCGUGUCGUCAGG
rnacentral:ncRNA from 2 species